rnacentral:rRNA from 1 species
GAUGAACGCUGGCGGCGUGCUUAACACAUGCAAGUCGAACGAAGCACCUUAUUCUGAUUUCUUCGGAAUGAAAAAUUUGGUGACUGAGUGGCGGACGGGUGAGUAACGCGUGGGUAACCUGCCUCAUACAGGGGGAUAACAGUUAGAAAUGACUGCUAAUACCGCAUAAGACCGCAGCACCGCAUGGUGCAGGGGUAAAAACUCCGGUGGUAUGAGAUGGACCCGCGUCUGAUUAGGUAGUUGGUGGGGUAACGGCCUACCAAGCCGACGAUCAGUAGCCGACCUGAGAGGGUGACCGGCCACAUUGGGACUGAGACACGGCCCAAACUCCUACGGGAGGCAGCAGUGGGGAAUAUUGCACAAUGGGGGAAACCCUGAUGCAGCGACGCCGCGUGAGCGAUGAAGUAUUUCGGUAUGUAAAGCUCUAUCAGCAGGGAAGAAAAUGACGGUACCUGACUAAGAAGCUCCGGCUAAAUACGUGCCAGCCGCCGCAGUAA